GGUCCAGGACGGCAGCAGGCGCGAAAAUUACCGAAGCUCAAAAAGAGGCGGUAGUAAAGAGACGUGUAAAAACGAAACAAGGGUAAAAAACUUGUUAAAAACUGGAGGUCAAGUCUGGUGCCAGCAUCCGCGGUAAUACCAGCUCCAGGGGUGUCUAUGAUGAUUGCUGCGAUUAAAAGGUCCGUAGUCAAAAUUACAAACUAGUCUGAAAAAUGUUAGAUAAAAAAGCGAAUAGGACAAGUACGUAAGAAAAAUUAGGAACGACCGGGGGCUAGUUAAUCGAGCAACGAGAGGUGAAAUUUGAUGACUUGCUUGGGAGAAACAGAGGCGAAAGCGCUAGUCAAGGGCGAAUCCGAUGAUCAAGGACGUAGGCUGGAGUAUCGAACACGAUUAGAUACCGUAGUAGUUCCAGCAGUAAACAAUGCCGACACCGUAUAAUGCAAGUUGAGCGGAAGAGAAAUUAAGUAGGGCUUUGGGGAGAGUACACGCGCAAGCGAUAAAUUUAAAGGAAAUUGACGGAAGAACACCACAAGGAGUGGAGUGUGCGGCUUAAUUUGACUCAACGCGGGACAGCUUACCAGACCCGAGGAUUAAAGGAGCGAAUACGCGAUAAAUCUGAAAGUGGUGCAUGGCCGUUAUCGACGAGUGAAGUGAUUUCAAGGUUAAAUCCGACAAGUCGUGAGACCCUUAAAAUAAUAAAUAAUUAGUUUUAGUUAUUAUAUACAGGUAUGAAAAUACAGGAAGGAAAGGACAAGAACAGGUCAGUGAUGCCCUUAGAUGGUCUGGGCUGCACGCGCACUACAGUGGUUAUUUAAAAAGAAGAAUAAUUUAUAAAAAAAGUUAUUAGAGAGAAAUAUAAUCGAGAGGGAAUGAGCGCUGCAAGGCGCACAGGAACGAGGAAUUGCUAGUAAUCGCAAGCUCAGUAAGAUGCGAAGAA
rnacentral:rRNA from 1 species